ACCAAAUGGUCUAUUCGGUUAAGGUGUUGGUAUCUAAUUGAGAAGGUCGUGGGUUCAAAUCCCACUGGUG